AGAGUUUGAUCAUGGCUCAGAACGAACGCUGGCGGCGUGCUUAACACAUGCAAGUCGAACGCGAAAGAAUUCUUCGGAAUUUGAGUAGAGUGGCGCACGGGUGAGUAACGCGUAAGUAAUCUACCCUGGUAUCUGGGAUAACCCACCGAAAGGUGUGCUAAUACGGGAUACGCUGAUUUAUCAGGAAAGAUGGCCUCUUCAUGAAAGCUAUCGUACCAGGAGGAGCUUGCGUACCAUUAGCUAGUUGGUAGGGUAAUGGCCUACCAAGGCGACGAUGGUUAGCGGGUCUGAGAGGAUGAUCCGCCACACUGGAACUGAAACACGGACCAGACUCCUACGGGAGGCAGCAGUGAGGAAUAUUGCGCAAUGGGGGAAACCCUGACGCAGCGACGCCGCGUGGAUGAUGAAGGCCUUCGGGUCGUAAAAUCCUGUCAGGUGGAAAGAAAUGUAUGGAUGUUAAUACCAUCUAUAUUUGACGGUACCACCAAAGGAAGCACCGGCUAACUCCGUGCCAGCAGCCGCGGUAAUACGGAGGGUGCAAGCGUUGUUCGGAUUUACUGGGCGUAAAGGGUGCGUAGGCGGUAUGGUGUGUCGGAUGUGAAAUCUCACCGUCCAACGGUGAAACUGCAUUCGAAACUGCCGUACUAGAGUACAGGAGGGGAGAGCGGAAUUCUUGGUGUAGCGGUGAAAUGCGUAGAUAUCAAGAAGAACGCCGGUGGCGAAGGCGGCUCUCUGGACUGAUACUGACGCUGAGGCACGAAAGCUGGGGUAGCGAAGAGGAUUAGAUACCCUCGUAGUCCCAGCCGUAAACGGUGUGCACUUGGUGUGGGCGGCUUUGUCCCCGUCCGUGCCGGAGCUAACGCGUUAAGUGCACCGCCUGGGGAGUACGGCCGCAAGGCU
rnacentral:rRNA from 1 species